rnacentral:rRNA from 1 species
CGACCGGCGCACGGGUGCGUAACGCGUAUACAAUCUACCUUACACUGAGGGAUAGCCUUUGGAAACGAAGAUUAAGACCUCAUGGUAUGUUGGUAUGGCAUCAUACUUUCAUUAAAGGUUACGGUGUAAGAUGAGUAUGCGUUCUAUUAGCUGGAUGGUGUGGUAACGGCACACCAUGGCAACGAUAGAUAGGGGCCCUGAGAGGGGGAUCCCCCACACUGGUACUGAGACACGGACCAGACUCCUACGGGAGGCAGCAGUGAGGAAUAUUGGGCAAUGGAGGCAACUCUGACCCAGCCAUGCCGCGUGCAGGAAGACUGCCCUAUGGGUUGUAAACUGCUUUUGUACAGGAAGAAACACUCCCUCGUGAGGGAGCUUGACGGUACUGUAAGAAUAAGGAUCGGCUAACUCCGUGCCAGCAGCCGCGGUAAUACGGAGGAUCCGAGCGUUAUCCGGAAUCAUUGGGUUUAAAGGGUCCGUAGGUGGAUGAUUAAGUCAGAGGUGAAAUCCUGCAGCUCAACUGUAGAAUUGCCUUUGAUACUGGUUGUCUUGAGUCAUUGUGAAGUAGUUAGAAUAUGUAGUGUAGCGGUGAAAUGCAUAGAUAUUACAUAGAAUACCGAUUGCGAAGGCAGAUUACUAACAAUGUACUGACACUGAUGGACGAAGGCGUGGGGAGCGAACAGGAUUAGAUACCCUGGUAGUCCACGCCGUAAACGAUGGUCACUAGCUGUUUGGAUUUCGGUCUGAGUGGCUAAGCGAAAGUGAUAAGUGACCCACCUGGGGAGUACGUUCGCAAGAAUGAAACUCAAAGGAAUUGACGGGGGCCCGCACAAGCGGUGGAGCAUGUGGUUUAAUUCGAUGAUACGCGAGGAACCUUACCAGGGCUUAAAUGUAAGU